rnacentral:rRNA from 1 species
UUGAAGAGUUUGAUCAUGGCUCAGAUUGAACGCUGGCGGCAGGCCUAACACAUGCAAGUCGAACGGUAGCACAGAGAGCUUGCUCUCGGGUGACGAGUGGCGGACGGGUGAGUAAUGUCUGGGAAACUGCCUGAUGGAGGGGGAUAACUACUGGAAACGGUAGCUAAUACCGCAUAACGUCGCAAGACCAAAGAGGGGGACCUUCGGGCCUCUUGCCAUCAGAUGUGCCCAGAUGGGAUUAGCUAGUAGGUGGGGUAACGGCUCACCUAGGCGACGAUCCCUAGCUGGUCUGAGAGGAUGACCAGCCACACUGGAACUGAGACACGGUCCAGACUCCUACGGGAGGCAGCAGUGGGGAAUAUUGCACAAUGGGCGCAAGCCUGAUGCAGCCAUGCCGCGUGUAUGAAGAAGGCCUUCGGGUUGUAAAGUACUUUCAGCGGGGAGGAAGGUGUUGUGGUUAAUAACCGCAGCAAUUGACGUUACCCGCAGAAGAAGCACCGGCUAACUCCGUGCCAGCAGCCGCGGUAAUACGGAGGGUGCAAGCGUUAAUCGGAAUUACUGGGCGUAAAGCGCACGCAGGCGGUCUGUCAAGUCGGAUGUGAAAUCCCCGGGCUCAACCUGGGAACUGCAUUCGAAACUGGCAGGCUAGAGUCUUGUAGAGGGGGGUAGAAUUCCAGGUGUAGCGGUGAAAUGCGUAGAGAUCUGGAGGAAUACCGGUGGCGAAGGCGGCCCCCUGGACAAAGACUGACGCUCAGGUGCGAAAGCGUGGGGAGCAAACAGGAUUAGAUACCCUGGUAGUCCACGCCGUAAACGAUGUCGAUUUGGAGGUUGUGCCCUUGAGGCGUGGCUUCCGGAGCUAACGCGUUAAAUCGACCGCCUGGGGAGUACGGCCGCAAGGUUAAAACUCAAAUGAAUUGACGGGGGCCCGCACAAGCGGUGGAGCAUGUGGUUUAAUUCGAUGCAACGCGAAGAACCUUACCUGGUCUUGACAUCCACAGAACUUUCCAGAGAUGGAUUGGUGCCUUCGGGAACUGUGAGACAGGUGCUGCAUGGCUGUCGUCAGCUCGUGUUGUGAAAUGUUGGGUUAAGUCCCGCAACGAGCGCAACCCUUAUCCUUUGUUGCCAGCGGUCCGGCCGGGAACUCAAAGGAGACUGCCAGUGAUAAACUGGAGGAAGGUGGGGAUGACGUCAAGUCAUCAUGGCCCUUACGACCAGGGCUACACACGUGCUACAAUGGCGCAUACAAAGAGAAGCGACCUCGCGAGAGCAAGCGGACCUCAUAAAGUGCGUCGUAGUCCGGAUUGGAGUCUGCAACUCGACUCCAUGAAGUCGGAAUCGCUAGUAAUCGUAGAUCAGAAUGCUACGGUGAAUACGUUCCCGGGCCUUGUACACACCGCCCGUCACACCAUGGGAGUGGGUUGCAAAAGAAGUAGGUAGCUUAACCUUCGGGAGGGCGCUUACCACUUUGUGAUUCAUGACUGGGGUGAAGUCGUAACAAGGUAACCGUAGGGGAACCUGCGGUUGGAUCACCUCCUU